rnacentral:rRNA from 1 species
AGCCGUUCGAGACUAGGACGUUGAUAGGUCAGGUGUGUAAGCGUUGUGAGGCGUUGAGCUAACUGAUACUAAUGACUCGAGAGGCUUAACCAU